rnacentral:rRNA from 1 species
GACGAACGCUGGCGGCGUGCUUAACACAUGCAAGUCGAACGGAAAGGCCCUGCUUUUGUGGGGUGCUCGAGUGGCGAACGGGUGAGUAACACGUGAGUAACCUGCCCUUGACUUUGGGAUAUCUUCAGGAAACUGGGGCUAAUACCGGAUAGGAGCUCCUGCUGCAUGUUGGGGGUUGGAAAGUUUCGGCGGUUGGGGAUGGACUCGCGGCUUAUCAGCUUGUUGGUGGGGUAGUGGCUUACCAAGGCUUUGACGGGUAGCCGGCCUGAGAGGGUGACCGGCCACAUUGGGACUGAGAUACGGCCCAGACUCCUACGGGAGGCAGCAGUGGGGAAUAUUGCACAAUGGGCGGAAGCCUGAUGCAGCAACGCCGCGUGCGGGAUGAUGGCCUUCGGGUUGUAAACCGCUUUCGCCUGUGACGAAGCGUGAGUGACGGUAAUGGGUAAAGAAGCACCGGCUAACUACGUG